rnacentral:rRNA from 1 species
AAAAAGAGGAGCAAGAAACGAAAAAGAGAUAAAAUUGUGCAAACUGGUUGCAAAGCUAAGAUGGUUGUGAAGCUAAUAGAUGGCAGAUGGGAGGUGAUCUACUUUUUUGGCGAGCACAACCAUCCGUUGGUUGACAAGCCAUGUUUGACUAAGUAUUUGUGAUCACACCAAGGGAUCCCACUAGAAGAAAGGGCCUUCCUUACUCAUCUUCAUAACUAUAAUUUGACUAUAGGUCAUAUGAUGCACAUCAUGUCAGAUUUCUAUGGGUCAGAAGUCAUUGUCCCUUAUACCACUAAGCACAUUACGAACCUCAACACGGUCUUGAACAAGGAUGCUACAAGGGAAGGGGAAAUGAUCAAGACAGUUGCUUUCUUUAAAGAUCAGCAAAAAGAGAAUCCUGAUUGUUUUAUAAGAUAA